UACAGAGGGUGCGAGCGUUGUUCGGAAUUAUUGGGCGUAAAGGGCGCGUAGGCGGUGCGGUAAGUCACCUGUGAAAUCUCCUGGCUCAACUGGGAGCUUGCAGGCGAAACUGCCGUGCUGGAGUGUGGGAGAGGUGAGUGGAAUUCCCGGUGUAGCGGUGAAAUGCGCAGAUAUCAGGAGGAACACCAAUGGCGAAGGCAGCUCGCUGGGACGUGACUGACGCUGAGACGCGAAAGCGUGGGGAGCAAACAGG
rnacentral:rRNA from 1 species